rnacentral:rRNA from 1 species
GAUGAACGCUGGCGGCGCGCCUAACACAUGCAAGUCGAACGAUUAAAGCACCUUCGGGUGUGUAUAAAGUGGCGAACGGCUGAGUAACACGUGGGCAACCUGCCCCUUUCAUUGGGAUAGCCACGGGAAACCGUGGAUAAUACCGAAUACUUCGAGACUUCCGCAUGGAAGACUCGAGAAAGCUCCGGCGGAGGGGGAUGGGCCCGCGGCCUGUUAGCUUGUUGGUGGGGUAACGGCCUACCAAGGCAAUGAUGGGUAGCUGGGUUGAGAGACCGACCAGCCAGAUUGGGACUGAGACACGGCCCAGACUCCUACGGGAGGCAGCAGUGGGGAAUCUUGCACAAUGGGCGAAAGCCUGAUGCAGCGACGCCGCGUGCGGAAUGAAGGCCUUCGGGUUGUAAACCGCUUUCAGCAGGGACGAGGCGAAAGUGACGGUACCUGCAGAAGAAGCCCCGGCUAACUACGUG